UGUACUUAACCCGCGGGGGGUUGCAAACGGAAAAACUAACUAGUGUAUAUGAUUAUAUAUCGUUAGUACACCAUUGUACAGAUAUUAAUUUUGUUUGUAGCCACGUGGAUAAUUAAUCAUCAUCAUUUUAAUUUUGCCCGUGAUGUUAGCCUGAAGAAAAAAAUCAACUUUUUUAAUUGAACUGAAGCUAGUUUUGUCGGAAAUCGUUUGUAGUUCAUGAUUUGCUUGUUUUUAUAUACCUCAAUCAUCGAAUAUAAUCAAAUAAAAAUUGUGAUUACUCCCCAUUCGAGUCUAUUUUACUGGCGCGUAAUGGCGAAGGGAGAGGGGGCAGCAGUUAGAUCGUGCGGGCAAAAUUCAAAUGAUUAUUAAUUAUCCACGGGGUUGCAAAUAAAAUGAAUAGAUGUACAAUGAUGUACAUUAGUUAGUUUUUCCAUUUGCAACCCUCCGUUGGCUAAGUACAUUGGGGCGGUACGUUUAUGUGAGGGUGAACGACUGAUGGAAGGGAUUUUAUGAAGAAUUAUUUGAAUUAUUGUCGGUGGAAAUGUAAUUUUCAAGAUUAUUUUAGUUAGUUUUAAAGACUAAUGAUGUACGAGUGCUGGUAAAACAGAAAUUCCUUAUGAUUGGGGCGAUGGGAGAUGGCGCGAUCGGUGCUGCUUUGAAAUUUGAAGUACUGCUGAUGGAUACUUUCAUGCUUUACCUUAUUUAUCUUCUAUUUCUGGAAUCAUGUUAUCACCUGAAGCCAACCGUCAAGUUGGAAACUGGAUCACCAGAAAUCCAGGGUGGCAAAUAAAGUUUCAUGUUCAUCAACUAUUGGAGUUUGGGAGAAAUAAAAUUAAUGGAUUAUGCUGGAGGCAAUCAAUCGGACCCGACAAAUUUACAUUUGGAAACACCCAGAGUAGCGACCGAAUUAAACAAUG